UCUCCAAUGGCAGGCACAGAAGGGGAGAGGAAAAAAGAAAGAAAGAAAGAAAAAAAAAAACCCAACAAGGAAGGAGUAAAUGUUCAAGAAACUCUUCUCCAAAUCCAAAUUCCACUUGGAUUCCACUCCGAGCCUCAGAGAGAGGACAUGGCAGAGGAGGAGAGAUGGUGGAUGCUGGCAUCUGCGUGCCUGGAUUCAAACCGUGCCCUUAACCGCUUACCUGCUCUGUGACCUAGGGCAAGUUACUGAACCUCUCUGUGCUGGAGAAGCGAAGCCCCUACUUUCCUUGCGUAUUGUUGCAAGUAGUAGCUGAGUUCAGAUACAGCUCAAGACAGAAGGGUGCUUGGCACCUAGAAAGGAAAAACGUCUUUAGGUGAAGAAUAGAAGUACAUAAGGCUUCUUCUGCGGGACCACAACCGCUGUUCCUGGGAUCCUUACUCCUUGUUCAAUUGCUGUCUUAAUCUCGUGGAAAUGAAGUCGAGGAGGAGGCGAGCCACUUCAGAAAACACACAGAAGAUUCAUCCUCACCUCGCAGGUGAUAAAAAUCUAAGGAUGCACUGCUCUUCCUCUGCAUUUUCAUCAGUUUAGAAAGAGUGUGUGCAAACAACACAUCUGCUCAUGCAAGGGGUGAGCCCAUCAAAAAGAGAUCAGAGGCAAUAAGAGCAUCUCUGCCAGGUACAGGACCUGGGACUCUGCAAAGAGACAGAAGCAUGGUGGAUAGAGAGCAAGGAAAGAGCACAUUUCCACAAAGUAGGAAGCGAUUCACCAUGUCAUGCACCCCCUGCCUUUGGGAUUAGGAAGGAAAUCCAUGCUUCUGCCCUGUGCCAGGGCUGGUCCUGCCCACCUCUGUGCAGAGCAUGGAGUCCAGGGCGGGGGAGAGGGGGCAGGGAGUGCCUCUCUCUGAUACUGUCUGGUGCUGAAGGGCAAAUUGUCAGUAGCGGGAACUGGGAGCUCCAAGAGCUCACCGUGGUGGUUCCGUUAUAAUCAGAACUGUCGAGUGGGUUUUUGUGGGAUCUCCAUAAUCCCUUCUUACUUGGUAGCUUCCUCUUUUCAGACUCGCUCUACAGCUUGGUUACCCUGAAGAAAAGAUGCCCCAUUCUCUCUGGAUCAGAGGCUCUUGCCUCCCUGUGUCUCAGUCCUCUUCAGGAAAUAUCCAUCCAUGCCCUGUGUCCUAUUGCUGAAGAGACCAAAGUUCAGGGGGACCACCUGAGACACCUGCAGAUGCUCUCCCGAGCAGUAAAGUGGAAGGUACUGCUGACCUCAGAGCUUGCUCAAGUCAAACACAUCUGUGGGGAGGCUUCCACCAUCUUCUCCUGGCUCCCAGUUUGAAACCCUUGCCAGGUCUGGUAAAGAAUCUGAUAAAGAUAGUGGGAUUAAGGUUUUAAUGAGUAUGAUUGACCAAACGUGCUAUCUCUCCGUAUGGCCCCCAUUCAGCACCCUCCUCCUGCGCCCCUAGAUAAAAAGGAUUUGCAUUCCGAAGAAAGAACCAGUCAUCUGAAGGCGAAAUGAUGUGUGAUGGGUGUAUGCGGGACAUGAAGGCAGGCUGAGAAAACAAUAUGCACUUUGAUGUCACAAACACACCACGGAAAGCAAAGUCGGGGCAUUGACCUUGAAGUUGCACUCCCAUUCUCUUCCUUGUAUGGCAGCCACUACUCAGGGCACCUUUGCUUGCUGACCCUGGAAUCAUCAGCCCAGCAUGGCACUCCUGGGAGUCACACUGAGUACUUGGGAUUGGCAGGGAGGAGAGGCAUUGUCAGCACUCCAGGUGCUGCUUGGGGAGGGAGGUCCUUGGAAGUUCACUCCAGAACUCCUCAAAGGCCUGGAUAACUCUCCAGCUCCACCGAGAGAGUCCCCUGUUAAGAAAUCUCUUACACUGCAGGCGCCUGGCUGGCUCAGUCCAUGAAGCAUCGGACUCUUGCUUUUGGCUCAGUAUGAUCUCAAGGUCAUGGGAUCGAGUCCCUCAUCUCAUUCCGCAUUCUGCUUUGGAAUCUGCUAGAGAUUUUCUUUUCCUUUCCCAAUGCCUCUCCCGCUGGGUGCUCUGUCUCUCAGAUACAUAAAUAAAAAG